UCUGGUGGUUUGAGCGGUGUGCCCAGAACCCGAUCCCAUCUCGAACUCGGCCGUUAAACGCACCAGCGCCCAUGGUACUGUGUCUCAAGACACGGGAGAGUCGGUCGCCGCCAGACCUGCCCAGGACAAAAACACGCUCAGCAACGAGCCAUUCCCUCACAAACGAUCA
rnacentral:rRNA from 2 species